CACUGCCGAGAAAAGCCUCUAGAUAGAAAAUAGGUGCCCGUACCGCAAACCGACACAGGUAGUCAAGAUGAGAAUUCUAAGGUGAGCGAGCGAACUCUCGUUAAGGAACUCGGCAAAAUGACCCCGUAACUUCGGGAGAAGGGGUGCUCUUUAGGGUUAACGCCCAGAAGAGCCGCAGUGAAUAGGCCCAAGCGACUGUUUAUCAAAAACACAGGUCUCUGCUAAACCGUAAGGUGAUGUAUAGGGGCUG
rnacentral:rRNA from 1 species